GGGUAUAGCUCAGCGGCAGAGUAUGUGUCUAACAUGCACAGGGUCCUGGGUUCAAACCCCAGUACUUCCA
rnacentral:tRNA from 1 species